AUUGAACGCUGGCGGCAGGCCUAACACAUGCAAGUCGAGCGGAUGACGGGAGCUUGCUCCUUGAUUCAGCGGCGGACGGGUGAGUAAUGCCUAGGAAUCUGCCUGGUAGUGGGGGACAACGUUUCGAAAGGAACGCUAAUACCGCAUACGUCCUGCGGGAGAAAGCAGGGGACCUUCGGGCCUUGCGCUAUCAGAUGAGCCUAGGUCGGAUUAGCUAGUUGGUGGGGUAAAGGCUCACCAAGGCGACGAUCCGUAACUGGUCUGAGAGGAUGAUCAGUCACACUGGAACUGAGACACGGUCCAGACUCCUACGGGAGGCAGCAGUGGGGAAUAUUGGACAGUGGGCGAAAGCCUGAUCCAGCCAUGCCGCGUGUGUGAAGAAGGUCUUCGGAUUGUAAAGCACUUUAAGUUGGGAGGAAGGGCAGUAAGUUAAUACCUUGCUGUUUUGACGUUACCGACAGAAUAAGCACCGGCUAACUCUGUGCCAGCCGCCGCUGUAAGAC
rnacentral:rRNA from 1 species